CCGGCACGGGUGAGUAACACGUAUCCAACCUGCCGUCUACUCUUGGACAGCCUUCUGAAAGGAAGAUUAAUACAAGAUGGCAUCAUGAGUCCGCAUGUUCACAUGAUUAAAGGUAUUCCGGUAGACGAUGGGGAUGCGUUCCAUUAGAUAGUAGGCGGGGUAACGGCCCACCUAGUCUUCGAUGGAUAGGGGUUCUGAGAGGAAGGUCCCCCACAUGGAACUGAGACACGGUCCAA
rnacentral:rRNA from 1 species